CGCAACAGUAAAAAUUAACACACGGGAAAGAGAGCUCCUCUGGAGAGUCUGGUAUCCAAAGCAGUAAGAUUUCAGCCGUCACCAGUACAUGUCAAAGCACAGAAACAUCUGUUUCAUUACCCUGCGUUGGAGCUGGAGCCAUUACUUGGGAGAAGUCCCAUCGCAUGGCUAAGGACAGAGUCCAGCUCUCCCACCGGCUGUGCCAAAGCCCUCUCUGCUGCCCCGACAGUUGCCCAGGUUUUCUCGUCUGCCAGGAGCUGGAGACCUACCGAGCUCAGCAGAGAUGUACAGACUGGAUGUUCUCCACCUGAGAGCGGAGGUGCUUCAGCGGUUGCCCUUCAUGAUGACUCAGCCUGGAAAGUAGCCAGCCCUUCUCCAUCAAACACACCACAGCCAUGAGGCAAGUUCUCAAGAGAAACAGAAGGGGAAGGAAUGGGAAGCAGCUGUAUGAGAUGGACUGAAACUGUGAGGAUGAGGGAGGGAAUGAAAGGAAAGACCAAAAUCUUUGUGGUUCUGCUUCCAUUGGGUUUGUGGUCUAGAUGAAUUUUCUUUUCCUGCACAUCCAGAGUUGCCCAGUGCUGAUGAAGCCAGCACAACAGGUCUGACUUUUCAUUUGGCAAUUUUCUCACGCUAAGUCUUACUAACUUACAUGACCAGGGGAAAUGAAUGGGAAAAGGAUGGGAAAAUUCCUCAUACUGGCUUUCUUUCCUCUUAAGCUGGGCAUAGCUGGUGUUGCCUCCUCACCCUUGCCUGGCAAGUGAGGGACAUCUACAUUUCAUUUCCUUUCACCAGACUGCUCCUUCCUCCAGAACUAAUCCCCAAACACUGGGGAGAUAACCAAAGGUGCAGCUACAUGGUCUUUUGAAGGGAAAAGAAGCCAUGCCUUGACUACACAUUGUACCAGUUGGAUGCCAGGUUGAUAUACUAGAGUGGCAGUGAGCCCAACCUGAUAUAUCCUGCCUCUGAGCCCAGUUUAUUAGCUUGGGCAUGGUGCUGCACUAAUCGUGGCGAUGUGGUUUCCAGUGCACGUCAGCUUAUGAAUACAUAGCUCAGAGCAUGGGCAAACCAAAUUGUGUCUGUCUGCAAAAAACGUAAUGCAAAAAGAGAGGAAAAGUGUAUUAAAAGCCCUGCCAUGAUGGUAUCAAAGACUCCAUGUCUUCACUGAACAUCUUACUCCUUUGCUGCAUGUGCAGAUUUUACUCCUGAAGUAUAAUUUAGAUAGAAAGCUUGCUGGAGUGGAGGCUGCAUCUCCCAGUUCUAGGUGAUACUAAAUACCUGUUUCUCCAUGUAACAAAUGAGGAUAACCGGAGGCAUGAUGUGCUGGUGGUCAGAUGUGGUAUUCACCAAGAGAGUGCUGGGACAAGGAGCUCAUACCCUACCUGCACCUCCACCAAAGGUG
rnacentral:lncRNA from 1 species